AGUUCCAAGUUCUAAUUCAGUGACCUAGUCCUGAAAGAUUUGUCAUAUAAAGUAUGAUAUGCCUCUUCCCUGCAGAAUGAAACUACAAUUUCUGAAAGAAGGAACGCUUGGCCUUUACGGCCAUGUUUGAAACUUGGUGGUAAUACCUGGAGAAGCCAGGCAUCCAGCCAUGGUCUGCACCAAUCGGCACAACUGGGAGGGCCUCUGGAUGACCCCUAACUUCCAACAGCACCAGUGCUUCUGAUCUCUUUCCCACUUCUUGAUUCCAGGACCCAUUAGAUCCUGAGUACCCAAAACUGGUGAGCAGAUCUACUCUCUCCUCCCUUACAUUAAAGACUCUUCUUCAGUUCCAGGAAGGUGAACUCACCAGGUUGUGACAUCAGAAAUCCUCGCUGUGAUUUACUGACAGCAGAGCAACAAGAACUGCUGCUUUCAGCCACAGGCUAUGGGUCUUGCCUGUGCUAGCCCAUUAGCCCGAGAGUGGACUUCUUACCUACGUGCACCGGUCAAGAGCACUCACCCUGAGAUCCAAGUCUGUACCAUAGCGUUUCAUCCUCAGCUUUUGCUUGCCCAGAAUUCAAGACCCCCACUCUGGGUCUAGGGAUGUCUGAUAGCCAAGGAUCCAGGGAGACAGAGAAGACCAAGGAAAACGUGCCUUGGCAGAACUUAACAGAGAAAGACAGUGACCUCUUCCAACCUUUAUGGAAUCAAUUGUGGUUGUGUUUAAUCAUUUUUGGUGUUUUUUGUCACAAAAUUAUCUCCAUUUUACUACAGCAUUAUCUUCAUAUUCACCAAAAUGGGCUACUUUCCUCAAUGCCAUUAGAGCAUUGCCUUUACCUUCAGUGACCCUCAAAUAUAUACAUUUUGCUUGGAUUCUUAGAGCCUCCAGUUUGAAUCCAUACCUGGUAGAUUUGUCACUAUAAACAAAGAACACUUGGAUGAUGUUAAUACCCUUUAGAAUUGCAAUGCCUUUGUGUACUACUCAACACCAAGAUAAGUGAAUUGGCCCUAUUCCUCUUUAUACUUUCAUAUAAAAUAUGAAUUCCAUGCGAGUAAUCACUUACAAAUAAAAUAGGGAAGCAUUACAUAAAAAACCUUCACCCCUUAUGAAUUCAACCAAUGUUUAUUGAGGAGCCACCAUGUGCCAAGUAUUGUAUUAAAUUCUGGGACCACAAUGAAUAAGUCAUAGUCCUUGGCCCUAAGAAGUUUACAUUUCAGUGGGGAAGUGAGAUAAUUCAGCAAGCUAAUGAGUAUUAGAGCAGUGUCAUGACAGCCAUGAGAAUCCCUUCUCUCUGUUCCUUGAUCACCCAGAGAUCCCAGGGUGGCUCACAGAUGAUCCCUUUAUAGGAUAAAGCAACCAGCAAGGUUAGAGCCAACAAGCAGCACUCCAUGGUGGAAACUUGCAUGGUGAUCCAGAAGAGGCUAGUUACUAACAUGUUACUUCUAGACCACCUGACUUUGAAACAAGUUAGAUGUUUACUUACUGAAUGGCUUCCCUGGUUUGUCAUCAAACCGGUAACCCAUGGUUGACUGUCAGGCUGUGAAGUCAGAGAACAUGCUUCAAAUCCAGGUCCUGGCACUGAUGACCGCGACUGUGGGCAAAUCACUUAACUCUCUGAUCUUUGGUGUUUGUCUUUGCAAAAUAAAAAUAAAAAUAUUCUAUACUGUACCUACCUCACAGAAUUAUUGUGAAAAUGUAAGUGAAAGCACUUUGUAAACUGUUGCUUUUUAAUCAUCGCUUCUUCAUGCUACCCACCAGAUACAAUACCAUGAUUUGCCCGGAAGACAUAUUCUUAGCCAACCCUCACCCUGGACUACUGAAUGAUAGGAAGAAAAUCAAGUUCACGCCCUCAUAGAUAUGUUUUCAGUAUGGGAAUUCUGAUCCCUCACAGAAUGGCAAAAAUAUAUUCCAGGUCCCACAGCUGGAGUUCUCCUGCCAUUUAGACAUUCCACCACAAACAUGCCACUAGACCAAAUACCAGCUAGUUUUCAUGAUAGAGUGUCCUGGGGCCGGUUGUGGAAAAUUCACUCUUGGCCUCAGAGAACUGAUCAGACUGUGGUGACUCAAAGAAUCAUCUGGACUCUAGAGGUCACCAGCCUCUCCCCUUGAAUCCCCGCUUUUCAAAAACAGAGUGUGAAGCUCAUUUAAAGGAGAUGAAUCCACCCUCUUCAAAAACAGAGCUAGAAGUUUAUUUACAGGAGAUGCUGAACCAAUUCAAGAAAACUCCCCCUGAUUUGUUAUAGUUGAAUUAGCAAAGGAGCUUCCUGGACACUCAUUUAAAGCAAAGAUUUGGUUACAUAGUUCUUCUUUUAUCAGUGUACCCCUAACACCAACUUGGUUCUCUUUACACUAAGUUUUAUUUAUCUAUUCCGCAUCUGUCCAACAGACUCAUGGCAAAAUGUGUUCCUGAUUUACAAACUUCACAUGUCCCCCUUACACAAAGACACACACACACACACACACACACACACACACACAGAAUAGAACAGUGAGUAACGUCACCCCUUCUUCCAAUCUACCCCCAUGGCCAAGCCCUUCCUGGCCUACCGUUGCUGAUAAUUCCAUACAUAUUCUGAAUUGGCUCUUCUAAUUGGGGGUAUGCCUCACUGCAGCAAUCUUAAUCUAUCCCAAGUUAAAAUCUUGAGUCCAUUUUGGUCCUGCCUGGACACUUACAUGGAGUGUCUAUGGAGUCAUUACUGAUGCCCAGCAAUCCUUUAAAUAAAGUGACAUCUUUCUACUUAAAACCUGCCAGUUUCUACAAAGUGAAAAAAUAUUAGGAUGUACCUCUAGGAAUAGUGAAAAAAGUUCUCCAAGUAAAUAGAAUUAUGAUUAUGUAUAAAAUAUCUAAUAUAAUUUGCAACCCAAAAGCUCUGGAGUAAGACCAGAAACCUAUAAUAGAAAAUUUCCACUAAAAUCUGCCUCAAGUUCAUCAGGCAGGAAAAGGACAUUAUAAGUAGAUUUUUCAUUCAAUGCUGGUAUCAGGUUUCAAAAUAUUUUUACAUAAUACUGAAAAUAAUUCACAAUGUCUCCUUGCUAAAUGUCAGAUAUGUAGUGAAUCAAGAAAUUCCCAGUUCUAAAAGUAUAAUAUUGCAUUUUAUUUUAAUAUUUGAAAUGAAGUGCAAAACAUUUUUAAGCAGUGUCUUCUUUUGUGGUUUAGAAUCCCCACUUGCUAUGGGAAGGGAGCCAGAGAAACUCAAGAGUACCAACCACCCAAGGUCAGGGGCAUGGAGCCAAAGGGUUCAG